UACGUAGGGUGCAAGCGUUAAUCGGAAUUACUGGGCGUAAAGCGUGCGCAGGCGGUUUUGUAAGCCAGAUGUGAAAUCCCCGGGCUUAACCUGGGAAUGGCAUUUGGGACUGCAAGGCUUGAGUGCGGCAGAGGAGACUGGAAUUCCUGGUGUAGCGGUGGAAUGCGCAGAUAUCAGGAGGAACACCAAUAGCGAAGGCAGCUCGCUGGGACGUUACUGACACUGAGGCGCGAAAGCGUGGGGAGCGAACAGG
rnacentral:rRNA from 1 species